rnacentral:snRNA from 1 species
GUGUGCACGUGCACUAGAAUUGGAAAGAUACAGAAAAUUAGCAUGGCCCUUGCACAAGGAUGACACCAAAUUCGUGAAGCAUUUCAUAUUUUU